rnacentral:rRNA from 1 species
GAUGAACGCUGGCGGCGUGCCUAACACAUGCAAGUCGAGCGAUUCUCUUCGGAGAAGAGCGGCGGACGGGUGAGUAACGCGUGGUAACCUGCCCUGUACACACGGAUAACAUACCGAAAGGUAUGCUAAUACGAGAUAAUAUACUUUUAUCGCAUGGUAGAAGUAUCAAAGCUUUUGCGGUACAGGAUGGACCCGCGUCUGAUUAGCUAGUUGGUAAGGUAACGGCUUACCAAGGCGACGAUCAGUAGCCGACCUGAGAGGGUGAUCGGCCACAUUGGAACUGAGACACGGUCCAAACUCCUACGGGAGGCAGCAGUGGGGAAUAUUGCACAAUGGGCGAAAGCCUGAUGCAGCAACGCCGCGUGAGCGAUGAAGGCCUUCGGGUCGUAAAGCUCUGUCCUCAAGGAAGAUAAUGACGGUACUUGAGGAGGAAGCCCCGGCUAACUUCGUGCCAGCCGCCGCGGUAA